rnacentral:rRNA from 1 species
UCAUGAAUAUCCGAAUGCAUUGUCGUCCCUUCGCGGCUUCGGUUGCAAGGGGCGCGUCGGC